ACUCAAAUGAAUAGACGGGGGCCCGCACAAGCGGAGGAACAUGUGGUUUAAUUCGAUGAUACGCGAGGAACCUUACCCGGGCUUGAAAGUUAGUGACGGAUCGUGAAAGCGGUCUUCCCUUCGGGGCACGAAACUAGGUGCUGCAUGGUUGUCGUCAGCUCGUGCCGUGAGGUGUCGGGUUAAGUCCCAUAACGAGCGCAACCCUUACUGUUAGUUGCCAGCGGGUAGAGCCGGGCACUCUAACGGGACUGCCGGUGUAAGCCGAGAGGAAGGUGGGGAUGACGUCAAAUCAGCACGGCCCUUACGUCCGGGGCGACACACGUGUUACAAUGGACGGUACAGAGGGUCGCUACCCCGCAAGGGGAUGCCAAUCUCUAAAACCGUUCUCAGUUCGGAUCGGAGGCUGAAACUCGCCUCCGUGAAGUUGGAUUCGCUAGUAAUCGCGCAUCAGCCAUGGCGCGGUGAAUACGUUCCCGGGCCUUGUACACACCGCCCGU
rnacentral:rRNA from 1 species